rnacentral:rRNA from 1 species
GACGAACGCUGGCGGCGUGCUUAACACAUGCAAGUCGAACGGAAAGGCCCUGCUUUUGUGGGGUGCUCGAGUGGCGAACGGGUGCGUAACACGUGAGUAACCUGCCCUUGACUUUGGGAUAACUUCAGGAAACUGGGGCUAAUACCGGAUAGGAGCUCCUGCUGCAUGGUGGGGGUUGGAAAGUUUCGGCGGUUGGGGAUGGACUCGCGGCUUAUCAGCUUGUUGGUGGGGUAGUGGCUUACCAAGGCUUUGACGGGUAGCCGGCCUGAGAGGGUGACCGGCCACAUUGGGACUGAGAUACGGCCCAGACUCCUACGGGAGGCAGCAGUGGGGAAUAUUGCACAAUGGGCGGAAGCCUGAUGCAGCAACGCCGCGUGCGGGAUGACGGCCUUCGGGUUGUAAACCGCUUUCGCCUGUGACGAAGCGUGAGUGACGGUAAUGGGUAAAGAAGCACCGGCUAACUACGUGCCAGCAGCCGCGGUGAUACGUAGGGUGCGAGCGUUGUCCGGAUUUAUUGGGCGUAAAGGGCUCGUAGGUGGUUGAUCGCGUCGGAAGUGUAAUCUUGGGGCUUAACCCUGAGCGUGCUUUCGAUACGGGUUGACUUGAGGAAGGUAGGGGAGAAUGGAAUUCCUGGUGGAGCGGUGGAAUGCGCAGAUAUCAGGAGGAACACCAGUGGCGAAGGCGGUUCUCUGGGCCUUUCCUGACGCUGAGGAGCGAAAGCGUGGGGAGCGAACAGGCUUAGAUACCCUGGUAGUCCACGCUGUAAACGGUGGGUACUAGGUGUGGGGUCCAUUCCACGGGUUCCGUGCCGUAGCUAACGCUUUAAGUACCCCGCCUGGGGAGUACGGCCGCAAGGCUAAAACUCAAAGGAAUUGACGGGGCCCCGCACAAGCGGCGGAGCAUGCGGAUUAAUUCGAUGCAACGCGUAGAACCUUACCUGGGUUUGACAUGGAUCGGGAGUGCUCAGAGAUGGGUGUGCCUCUUUUGGGGUCGGUUCACAGGUGGUGCAUGGCUGUCGUCAGCUCGUGUCGUGAGAUGUUGGGUUAAGUCCCGCAACGAGCGCAACCCUUGUUCACUGUUGCCAGCACGUUAUGGUGGGGACUCAGUGGAGACCGCCGGGGUCAACUCGGAGGAAGGUGGGGAUGACGUCAAGUCAUCAUGCCCCUUAUGUCCAGGGCUUCACGCAUGCUACAAUGGCUGGUACAGAGAGUGGCGAGCCUGUGAGGGUGAGCGAAUCUCGGAAAGCCGGUCUCAGUUCGGAUUGGGGUCUGCAACUCGACCUCAUGAAGUCGGAGUCGCUAGUAAUCGCAGAUCAGCAACGCUGCGGUGAAUACGUUCCCGGG